CUGUUCUGGUUCUUGUGGUGAUCGUCUGCACAGAUAUCUACCUGUGGGUCGCGUGGGUCGCGUCCAGGCUCGCCGACCGCGUGGUCUCCCUCUCCUCGCCGACCGCCCACUCCAUCCCGGCCACACGGCCAUUCGGUGAGUUCCACCGACUAGCUGUGCACGGAUACAUUCCUCUUCUCCCGUGCGGACAUGAAACUGACGCCUCCGAACAACGGAGCUGGCGGUCCUAGCCGAGAACCAGGGCCACCGCGUCCAACAUGCGCAGGCGAUGCGCCGCACGAACAGCGUCGGGAGCACGGAACACCGGGGUCGCUGAACCCCGUCCCUCCCCCAACAGCCCUCGUCGCCCCCUCCCCCGGUAAGGCACUAUGGCGAAUUCGUCUGCUUCAUGGUUCCAAAUGUUUGAGCGUGCCUGCGGUGGAUCCCAAAUAUUUUUCGUGCUUCGUUGGGUACCGUAUCUGUGAUAUCCUUCCAUAUGUGUUGGAUCCCGAAUAUCUGAUUUUAUUCUGGUAGUGAGUUUGUGAUUAUAUCAUGAGUUGGUUGGUUUCCUGAUAGUGUUAUGUUCUGGUCAGUGUUAUGUUGCUCACAUAUGUGAUUGCCUUCCAUGUCUGUGGAUCCCGAAUCUAUUUCCUUUCAGAUUCGAUUCUGGUAGUGAGUUUGAGAUUUUAGCAUCAGUUGUGGUGGUUUUGUGACAUUUUCUGUGCUCAUGAAACUAUAGUGUCGUGUUCAUUGUACUGCUCAAAACGAUUAUCCUGAAUCUGGUUCAAUUCUGGUAGAGAGAUUGAGAUUAUAGCAUGAGGUGUGGUUUAUGAAACUGUUCUCUUGUCUAGAUAAAUGCUCUAAUCGAUUGCCUGUCUUCAAAAUUAAGGUAUGCUCAAAUCGAAGUGUCAUAGCCAUGUUGCCAUGUUGGUAUGGACGGUUAGAUGAUCUAAUGUGAAUAUCUGCCUGUUUCAAUGCCCAAGUCCACUCUACUUUGUAUUUGACCAAUAUCCUUUAUUAGUAGUUCUUGGUUGAUUGUGUGCAUUGUGCUAUUAAUGCUUAUGUCUUCUCUAGUAAGAUAUUUGUAUGAACUAGACACAUGUAUUGUCAAAGUCUGAAAUAAAGGUUACCUUAAUCAGAGUGUAAGGCAGUGCUACAAGGUAGGAGUAAUAAUGAUCUUCAGGCAGUGCUAAUUUAGAGGUGUCAUUCAUACAUCUGUUUUAAUGAUGACUCUUGCUAUUUUACUGAAGAAAAUGUAGAUUGUUCAUGUAUUGGGCUAUUUUCUUAUUUAAGAUGAAAUGAUUAUUCCUUACUACUGUUAGGAUUCUUCUCUUGGUUUAUUGGCAUAUUCUUAAUUCUAGUGUUCUCUUCUGCCUUUAUUGCUAUUGUUGUAUCGUCCAUUUACUUAGUAAAUUUUAUUUAAUAUAUAAUGUGCAUUUAUCAUUCUUUGGGGUCUGAACCUUUCCAUGUCUAUCAUGGCAAGAUGUAUCUAUCUUAGUAAACUGAUUUAGUCUUCCAUAGCAGCUAUUUAUCAUUGUUGUUAUACCUGAGAAAGCUUGCUUAUGCUAACCUCAGCCAGAUACAAUUGACAGUUUACAAAGUGGAUCAUCAUGGUGGCAUUUUUGGGUUUCUUUGCAAUAUAAAGUUAAUAAUGAGCACAUUGAUGGUAAAUGGAUUUCAAGAAUUCAGAAUUGAGGUUAAGACAUAGGAGUACUGCCCAUAUGGGAGCACACUAGGUUGUUCAAAUUUUCAGCGCUUUCUCUAAUCAUCAAAAGCACACUUAGUACAUCACUCAUCAAACGUUCAAAAUUAUAAAAGAACAGUUAAUACUCACUUCAUUUCUGUAUGGCCUGUAUUUUUUGCAAUCUUCUUUUAAAAUAUAGGUUUCUAUAUGUAAUUAAUGAUUUUUCAUUCUUUUACCCCCUUUUAUCUCACUCUCAUCGUCAUUUCUGAUUAUGCAAGAGAAAUGCCCCACUGGAGUAGGAUAUUUCCCUGCAAAUUUAUGGUUUAAGUGACAUUGUGCAGUACUACAUAUUAUAUGUACUUUCAAAAAAAAAAUUAUGAUGUUUCAUUUGGUUAUCAAUCAACACACUUAAGUGAGAUGUGCUUUGAGGCUUGAAAUUUCGAAACAUUUUUGUUUUUGCUUUUAUUUUGGUGCUGGAUCAGAGGUUACCUAAGGGCUUAGCUUCGUGAAUAGCACACUGUCAUUUUUGUUCUGGUUAAACUAGCCACUACAGUGGUACUGUUUCCGACGAUUUUUUUGUUCGAAGUGUCAUGUUCAAUUUUAUUCAAGUGUGUGUUAGUAGUAUCGCCACUAGAGUAGUACUACUGUUCCAGACGAUUUCUUUUGUUCGAAUUGUCAACGUUCAAGUUGAUUCAAGUGUGCAUUAUUACAGGCAGUUUUAGGUUGAGCAUUUGCCUUGUUUUAGUAGAAUUCUCCCACUAUAGUAGUAUAUGGAACUGUUUGGAUGGUGGUCGGGAGUUGUCCCACAAAAAAUUGCUGAUAAUGUGUGCGACAAGGAAUCAAAUUAUCUGAAUAUUCGUAUUUACACUUUUGUGUUUAUUGGUAAUUUUAGGUUGAGCAGCCUUCUAUUAUAUAUAUAUAUAAUAACUUUAUCUCUGUUCACUUGCAGGCCAGAAUGUGUAGAUGACUAGGACAGAUUGAAGGUUACAAGUGAAGACGUUUCCCAAACGGAAGCUGAUGUCUGUGGUUUGUUGGAAUUUCCUUAUGCAUUGUUGAUUGGGUGAUUUGAGACAUGGUCGUUUGGAUCUGAUUCUCAUGCUAAGCUUUGAGACAUGACGUUUGCAUCCAAUGCCUUACAAUAUGGUUUCAUGGCUCCUGUUUUGCAUCACCGUAGUUCUGUACUGGAAGUUUCUUAGGAGCUGUUACUAUUUUACUUUCUUUGGUUGCAACAUUGGCUGUGAGCGACCACGCUUUUGGCAUAUAAUAGCGUAUGUUUCC
rnacentral:lncRNA from 1 species